GAGGUGAGUGGCUUAAGGAGGAGGGGACCUGGGUGGUCACACUUAUAAAAAACAAAAUAAAUUUGUUCGAUGUAGAGCCAGGUGUGUCCAAAGUAAAAAUGAUAGAUGGGGUUCAGGGUGCGCACUUCACCAUCCACCCAUUUUGUACCGCUUAUGCAGGGUUGGGUUGUGAGGGCGGCAGCUUUAUAAUUUUGUGAAACAUGAAAACAUUUUGUAAGUGUAAUAAGCAUAAUUGCAUUAAUCAUUAAAAAUAUUUUUGCGGGGAAAACAAGAUAACAAAAAUAAGAGACCAGUUGCCUCAAUUCAGCCUCUGCAUCUUUUUAUGUCCUGGAGGAAUGACUCAGAAUCUACACAAAGAAAAAAAUAAUUUUUUUUUAACAAGUUCAUGGGUAUUUUUUU